rnacentral:misc_RNA from 1 species
GAAAGUAUGCCGAAAGCCAAGAAGCCGGUAGAGGAAGUAGCGUCAACAUAGAGGGAGCAAGUGAGAAAGGAGAGGGUGCUCGUUCCUGGCGUACGCGCAGCACGAGCUGCGCACGGUAGCACUUGGCGCAUGCGCGGCACAUGCCUGUACUCUGAUCAGAGAAACGAGUGCGAGAGAAGCACGUGGUGAGAUUGCACAGGAGGAGGAAGGAAGUUGCUUCGGCGUCAAGAAGCAACAAAGGACGGAGAACGUCGUGUGUUGAAGGAGAAUAUCGAGCCGUCACGACUGCCGUUGAAAAAACACCAAACUAAUCUCCCAAGAUCAGAAGAAAUUAACCAUCUUCAAAACACCAUAUAUCAAACGCAACAACUCGAAAGUCACUCCGAAGGAACUCUACACCUUCCGCCUCGUCGUCCGCAUAGAUUCGGAUUAUGAAGGAUCGAGCGCGAUGUCAGUCUGGAGAAUCUGCCCUAUAAAGGGGAAUCAUAAGGAGGAAGAAAGCAAGAAGAAUACAACGAAAAAAAAAGUAGCGAGCGAAGCAAGGAAGAAAAUAAGGAAAGGGGAUCGUCGGUCGGUGUGUUGGGCAGGGUGCCGACCGAG